UGCAAAGUAUUUUUAAUACACAUAGUAUUAUUAUCGCAAAUUUAUUGAUAAACAGAGAUACAGUCGGUAUCUUUUUCAUACUGAACUACCAAACAUGUAAAGAACAAUUUAUUCACUCCCUUUAUUCGAAUGGUUUCCAUGUGAGCAAGAACGACACAUUUCGUCUCAGUUUGAAUAAUAUAAUUAAUCUUACUAAUGAGAAUGCCUGUUAUGAAAUCUACUUAUCCUGCAGUGCUUGGGGCCGAUACACAGAGUCUGUUGUUGUUCUGCCAUCUUCAACAAUUAGUUACAUAAUAUCAACAGUAGCAAUGGUAGUUAUAUUGGUAAACAGCUUCGUUUUAUUUGUAUUUCUACAAAAGGAGAACCGAAC
rnacentral:lncRNA from 1 species